rnacentral:rRNA from 1 species
GUUGGCUUUUCUUGGCACAUAGGGAAUGGCAAAAGAGCUAGUUUCUGGGAGGAUCAUUGGUUUGGCAAUGCUACCCUAGCUACCCAAUAUUGGGAUCUAUAUAACAUAGCCAAUGAGCAUAAUAUUACUAUUGAUAGAGUUUGGGAUGGUUGCAAUCUCAAGAUUACAUUUAGAAGAUGCUUUAACUAG